ACCGCUCGAGGAGACGUUACCCGUCACACCGUAGGCGGAACACUUGAUAGGUAAAAAGGAACGAGGAUACGGCAUGACCGCGAAAUUUGAAUGCAAUGGAAAGAUUCGAAAGAUUAAUCUUAUUAAUAUUUGUAAACGAAGUUAAAAGCACAUGCCUCCGGUCACACGAUCUUUUUCUUACUAACUCGUCUGAGAACUCGAGUAUAAACGUUGGACAUGCUUCCGCGACAGCUACGAUCCUUUUACAGAUAGUCGUGGAACAUCUUAGAAGUUGUGUCGAGUAAACGGGGUCGAUAGUUGUUAAAUCUUUGAGAGAAACCUACAAAGCAACAGUGAAGAAUAAAAGUAUGUCAAGAAUCCCUAAGGACACGCGAAAGAUGAAGAAAAGAUAGAAAUGGAGAGAAUGUCAAAGACACAGAGAAAAAGAAGAAACGCACACAGUAUGAAAGCAGCGAAGAGGAAAUGUACACUCCCUUUCAAAAGUCAUCUGGUUGCAAAUAUUUUAAACAUAUUAAUGUUUAACAUCAAUUUUCGAAUUUAUCAUUUUAACAUGGCAAUUACAAAAUUUUAUUAAAUAUUUAUUCUACAUCUUUUCUCUAAUCAAUCUUUCUUUGUACAAUUUAAAUUGCACAAUCUGAUAGUUCAUAAAAAUUUGAAAUUAGAUAUCUAAAGAAAUUUUUAUCAUUAUUUAAUUAAAAAAAUAAAAGUACAUAUAAAACACGCAUUUGAAAAUGAAACGUUUAAAAAUUUCUCACGAGAGAUUUAUCUUUCGCAGAUGAACGCUUCUUUGAGCGUAACUUUCAAUUUAUUCAUAAAAAAAAAAAAAUAAUUUAAUUUCCGAAAGUUUUAUUCUCAAAUAUAUUUAUUAAAUUCUAAAAAAAUAUCGGCAAGAAUUUUUUAUGAUUAACUCUUAAAACAUAGAAGAUUGAUUACCGAUCAAACAUCGUUCUAACAAUCAUAAUAAUCGUAUUUUAAAAUUUAUCGUUAACUGUAUAUAACUUAUGAAAGGGAGUGUAGUAAGUAUUGUACAUACGAAUGGAAAAACACGAAAGGUGUACACGAGGUGGAGGCAUGCCGAGUAUGGAAUAUGUUUUAACGGCGCGAGAGAAAUCCAAUUCGUUACUCGACGUAGCAUGCAAAUCGUGAUAUUUAUCCUGUUGUUAACACAUUGCGAUUAAUCGAUCCAGAGAUUGGACCAAUAUCGUUCUAUUGCCAAUUUAAUCUGCUAAUUAACGUCUCGUUAAUUGGUAUAGUUCUGGCUAGAGGAUCACUGGUAUAUAAUCCUCGACAAAUAAUUAACUCAUCGAUUAGGAUGAUCCUUCUUAUGUCUCCAUAUAUGCCUCAUCACUUUGUAUAAAUGUGUUAAAACAAUUUAACAAUGUCGGUGUUACGCAUAUAUGUUCGCUUGUAGGAGUCCCCCUCACGAAGUAACGACUUUUAUACGCGAGACGGUUGUACAAAUGGUUGUCUCAUUUAUUCGUUACUCCACUUGAGAAAAAUGUGAAAAGUGUCUCGCAAUGUUCGAAUCUUUUAUGCUAAAUAGGGCGUUGUACAUAAUGAAGUAUGUGGAACAAUCUUGAAUAAGAAAGAUUGCAAUGCGAAUACUGUGAGUAUCCUCGACCGUUUUGAGAUAAAAAAAAUCUUUUCCCAUUGUUUCUUUCUCCAUUAUUAAUCUUAUCCAAUCCGACUGUAUUUGAACUGUUAGGAAAGAAGCUUGUAUUAUAACGAGUUCUUUUGAUAAAAUUAAAAAUUUAUAAUUGAUUGAAAAAA